GCCUACGACCAUAUCACCCUGAAUGCACCCGAUCUCGUCUGAUCUCGGAAGCUAAGCAUUGUCGAGCCUGAUUAUUACUUGGAUGGGAGACUGCCUGGGAAUACCAGGUGUUGUAGGCU
ensembl:rRNA 5S_rRNA 5S ribosomal RNA